CAAGGGGUAGUUUAAGUAAAAUUCUAGCAUUGGAAGUUAGCGAUUGGGGGGACCCCCAUCCUUUGA
rnacentral:tRNA from 1 species